UCGUUCGUGGUGAGGCAGGCGGGACGACCCUCACGGGGACGUUGUACGAGCGGGGCGAACGCUCGCCCUCGUUCAAGGGCGCGCCGGACGAA
rnacentral:tRNA from 1 species